rnacentral:tRNA from 1 species
GCCGGGGUGACAGAGUGGCUAUGUGGCGGACUGCAGAUCCGCAGACAGGUGUUCAAAUCCCCUCCCCGGCUCCA